rnacentral:rRNA from 1 species
UACAGAGGGUGCAAACGUUGCUCGGAAUCAUUGGGCGUAAAGCGCACGUAGGCGGUCCGACAAGUGGGGCGUGAAAGCCCUCGGCUUAACCGAGGAAGUGCUUUCCAAACUGCCGGACUUGAGUACGCAAGAGGAUCGCGGAAUUCCUGGUGUAGCGGUGGAAUGCGCAGAUAUCAGGAGGAACACCAAUGGCGAAGGCAGAUCUCUGGGCCGUAACUGACGCUGAGGAGCGAAAGCAUGGGGAGCGAACAGG